rnacentral:rRNA from 1 species
GAUGAACGCUAGCUACAGGCUUAACACAUGCAAGUCGAGGGGAAACGAUAGAGAAAGCUUGCUUUUUCUAGGCGUCGACCGGCGCACGGGUGAGUAACGCGUAUCCAACCUGCCCACCACUUGGGGAUAACCUUGCGAAAGUAAGACUAAUACCCCAUAAUACAGGGAUCCCGCAUGGGAAUAUUUGUUAAAGAUUUAUCGGUUGUAGAUGGGCAUGCGUUCCAUUAGCUAGUUGGUGAGGUAACGGCUCACCAAGGCAACGAUGGAUAGGGGAACUGAGAGGUUUAUCCCCCACACUGGUACUGAGACACGGACCAGACUCCUACGGGAGGCAGCAGUGAGGAAUAUUGGUCAAUGGACGCAAGUCUGAACCAGCCACGUCGCGUGAAGGAAGACGGCCCUACGGGUUGUAAACUUCUUUUGUAAGGGAAUAAAGUGUAGUACGUGUACUAUUUUGCAUGUACCUUACGAAUAAGGAUCGGCUAACUCCGUGCCAGCAGCCGCCGUAA